UCCGGCUCCGCUUCCAGCGACUAGGCUCCUUUCCUGACUGUGCAGAGGGCUGUUGUCUGGGAUGGUGAUCUCCCUCAGUUUGAUUAUUUCCAGUCUUCUUCUCCUCCUGGAACCUUCAUCUGGUGAUGGAUGGAGAUAGAGACAGAGACCCACACUGGAGCACUGGACUGAGCUCCCAAGGUCCCAAUGAGGAGCAGAUGGAGGGAGAACACGAGCUAGGAUGUCAGGACCACGGGGGGGUGCACCCACCCACUGAGACAGUGGGGCUAAUCUAUUGGGAGCUCACCAAGGCCAGCUGGACUGUGACUGAAAAAGCAUGGGAUAAAACCGGAC